CUACGGGAGGCAGCAGUGGGGAAUAUUGGACAAUGGGCGCAAGCCUGAUCCAGCCAUGCCGCGUGGAUGAUGAAGGCCUUAGGGUUGUAAAGUCCUUUUAACGGGGAAGAUAAUGACGGUACCCGUAGAAUAAGCCCCGGCUAACUUCGUGCCAGCAGCCGCGGUAAUACGAAGGGGGCUAGCGUUGCUCGGAAUCACUGGGCGUAAAGCGCACGUAGGCGGAUCUUUAAGUCAGGGGUGAAAUCCCGGGGCUCAACCUCGGGACUGCCUUUGAUACUGGGGAUCUCGAGUUCGGGAGAGGUGAGUGGAACUGCGAGUGUAGAGGUGAAAUUCGUAGAUAUUCGCAAGAACACCAGUGGCGAAGGCGGCUCACUGGCCCGAUACUGACGCUGAGGUGCGAAAGCGUGGGGAGCAAACAGGAUUAGAAACCCUAGUAGUCC
rnacentral:rRNA from 1 species